CACUACGUGCGGGUUUAUGUAUU
rnacentral:siRNA from 1 species